CGUCUUCCCCUGUCAAAAGAAUGACUCUGAACUCGCAAUAGGGGUAUUUAUAGGUGAGGAGCGUAGCAGAAAACAGGCCCAAGCCCAACGGACCACCGCCCGGCGGAAUAAGUGUGCCGCCNGGCGGUUUCCCAUAAACCUCCAAACCGCCCGGCGGCAAGGGUCACCGCCCGACGGUUUCCCACAAAAUCGCCCAAUGCCAACGCUAGUGUCUACUCCUCGCCCUGGAUCGCCCAGCGGUGUAAGUUGUCGUCGGGCGGUGCGUCGACUCUUCAAAUCUUCAAUUUUCUUCUCUUUUCUUGAGUCUACGACCUUUAUCUUCAGCUCC
rnacentral:lncRNA from 1 species